AACUGGAUCCAAUCAGCACCUGCUUUGGUCACUUAUAACCUCCUAUAAAAGCUCAACUGGUCACUCUCCUUCACAACUGUCGCUGAAACAAUGGCUGCUGUCUGGUGUUUAGUUGUCCUGGUAUAUGCAGUUUUCAUGGGCAAAGGUCUUUGUUUUGCAGGUGGGGCUAAACAAGGAGUGUCUGAUGCUGUGCUUAACAAAGGUCUGCCAGACUUGUUUAAUUGGUGUUACCAGUGGAGUGAAUUGGAGCCAAUUACCAUCUGGUGUGGUCACUCAUCACCUGCGAUAAAAUCUCACCUGGUCAGUCACUUUCACAACUGUCACUGCAAUAAUGGGUGCUCUCUGCCUCUUGGUUUUCCUGGUGCAUGCUGUUUUCAUGGACAAAGGCCUUUGUUUUCCAGGUGGUGCUAAACAGGGGGUGUCUGAUGUGCUUAAAAAAGGUGUGCAAGCCCCACUGGCAAGCAAAGUGUUUAGAGACAAAGCAAGCCACCAUGAGAGUAAUGACCCAGAGCUACAAUGCGAGCGGCAAGGGGCAGCUGAAUGACCAGCAGAGCUACAAUGAGAGUGGCAAGGGUCAGCAUGAGGACUUCUUUCUUCAAGUCCAGGAGAGAGUCAACCAGAACAACACAAUGAGCCAUAACCAACAGAGUGUUGGAGUAGCUGGCCAGGAUGUGGAGGGUCCAAAAGAAUCCUGCUCACUCUGAUCCUCGAUCUAGUGGUGUGCAAGUCUUCAAGGACCCAAACCAGAGUUAUGGAGCUACACUGUACUGAUUGGAUGGCUGCUGUGGCGCAGCUCUUGUGGCAGGUCCUGAGACUUUUAUUCCCAAGAACUUGAUCUAAACAGUUGACACAAGGCAGUUGGACAGCAUGAGGGGGAGCUGUGAGAGCCAAGCUUUUAAACCUGACAUUUGGUCCUUCGAGCCGGAUCCCAACACACCACCGCCCAUCGAGGAGGGAGAAGACACAACGAAGUCUGUUGACAGCCAGGAGCAUUUAGCUGUUCCUGAAGAACAGCCCUGGUGGGACGUGAAUUCGCGGCCAGGCCGGUGUUAGAGUCCAAUCUCCCCUCGGUGGACGAAGGUUGACGGGAUCACGAACAACUGGCGUCCAGACAAUGCAUGAACCGGUGCUGUUGGUGCCCAUUGGUGAUUGGGUCCUGAGAAAAAUCACCAAGAGGAAGUGUUGGUCUUCACCUUGCUGGGAUGGUCCACUCCCUCGGUGAUAAAGAUAGCAGAACGUCCCACUGCAAGCCUGUGGCUUUCUCUUCAUUCAACGACAAGUAGCGGUGGAAGUCCGGCUACAAAGGGUGAGGUAGCAAUAGGCUGCCCUGGUCUCAAACCGGUGAAGAAUUCAGCUGAUCCGCGCUUGAGCAUGUUAGGUAAAGGAGAGCCACUAUUGGGACUGCUGGCCUUCGUGCUGUUCGGACCAUGGCUUCUCCGCAGUGUGAUUCACUGAAUAAAUAGAAGCUGCAAGGAGACACAAGUUGGAGUUGGUUGGAAGCAGGGAAGUCCUGUCGUUCCCCUUGCAGCAAGUAAAACUUGAAGCCUUGUCUGUUCGCCUUCUUUUAAUAGAGAGUCAAGCUUUUAAACCUGACAUUGCUGAAUUAAUUAAGACGAGAUACAAAAGUUUUUACAGUAAUGGAUUGACUUGCAUUUGAAGGCAAAAAUACACAUUUACCAGGUUACCUCAAGUAUACUGUGAAAGGCCAACAAUUUAUUCACAAGUUAUGACAGCUAGUAUGUCCACAUUUUAACUAUCAAGUGAUAAUCAAAUUCUACUUCAUGUCGAUGAUGUUUUGCCUGGAUCACCCCACAAGGAAACUUUUAGCACAGGAGGGACACAAGGUUAGCAAGAACAAGUUAACAACAAGAUAAGAGCUUAGGAAACAACCUUUUAGCGCAGCAAGAACAAUUUUAGAUGAUAGAAAAAAAAAAAAGUUGUACUUAAUGUACCAAAACAACAAACUAUGUAACAAUAACUGCACCUUUGACCAAAUUAUUGUAUGAGGAAGACCUCAAAAUGACAUUGUUUAAAUGGACAGAAGAAUCAGAAAAUGUUUUCUGUGAGAUAAAGAAGGAACUAGUGUCAGAUUAUAGCAAAUCCUUUAUGUAGAUACUAGAUUGUCAU